AGGACGAACGCUGGCGGCGUGCUUAACACAUGCAAGUCGAACGAACCACAGUCCUUCGGGUCUGUGGUGAGUGGCGAACGGGUGAGUAACACGUGAGCAACCUGCCCUUGACACUGGAAUAACAGCUGGAAACAGCUGCUAAUACCGGAUACGACCUUCGAUGACAUCAUCUGGAGGUGGAAAGCCCCGGCGGUCAAGGAUGGGCUCGCGGCCUAUCAGCUUGUUGGUGAGGUAACGGCUCACCAAGGCUUCGGACGGGUAGCCGGCCUGAGAGGGCGACCGGCCACGACUGGGACUGAGAUACGGCCCAGACUCCUACGGGAGCAGCAGUGGGAAUAUGCAC
rnacentral:rRNA from 1 species